GAUUAUUUCUGGAAAGACACCAUGCUAGCAUCUCGUUCUGGCUACAUCGAUACGUGAGCUCUAUGUGAAGACAAAACGCUGCACAGCUGGGAGUCUUGCCACAUGCCAUCAGACCUGAGAUCCCCCCAGCCCAGGACCAGUGUAUGUCAGUGGGACUGCCUUGCUGUGUGCCUCCAAAGUGAAACAGCCAGGAAAAUAAGUCUGAAGGCGACUGUGAGCAGCUGCAGGGCUGCCCCUGAGGCCAGUGGGGCUGUGUCACGAGCAAGCGAUCCUCCAGCAUGAGCGCCCAGAGCCUGUGCUUGUCUUCAGAUGACAAGAGGUGAGAGCUGUGUUAUUGUUGUUACAAAGGUACACAGUACAUUCUGCAGGAGCAAACUAUAAAUAUUUUCAGCAAAUGCACUUACUACAGGUGCGGGUGCCAAGUAGCACUGUCUCCUUCCUAAUUGUUAGGGAAGCAUUUUUGUUUUAUUGCACAGACAAGUAGAUUCCCUGUUCCUUUGCUGUUCU
rnacentral:lncRNA from 1 species